UACGGAGGGUGCGAGCGUUAUCCGGAUUCACUGGGUUUAAAGGGUGCGUAGGCGGACUGAUAAGUCAGUGGUGAAAUCUCUUUGCUUAACAAAGAAACUGCCAUUGAUACUGUCGGUCUAGAGUAUAGAUGACGUUGGCGGAAUAUGACAUGUAGUGGUGAAAUACUUAGAUAUGUCAUAGAACACCGAUUGCGAAGGCAGCUAACGAAAACUAUAACUGACGCUGAGGCACGAAAAGUGCGGGGAUCAAACAGG
rnacentral:rRNA from 1 species